UUCGAUUUGAAACUAAUUCUUAGUUUGGUCAAGCUUAAUAUAUGCAUAAGAAAAUGCAAAUUACAUAUGACAUAAAUAUCCUCACAAGGGAAAAAAGAUGCUUGUUUAAACAUGCAAUAUUGUUUCCUGAUUGCAAAAUUUUGUAUCUAACACAUUAUAUAUUUAUACAAAACAAGAAAAAGAAAUGCACAUUUAAAUAUCCUAUCCUAAUUGCAAGAUUUUGAAUUUAACAUCUAAAGUAAAGCAGAUAAUAAGAAGUUUGGCCUAAAUAGAUCAUUAAGGACCAGAAAGAUUCAUGUAGUUGAUUCGAUUUGAAACUAAUUUUUAGUUUAGUCAAGCUUAG
rnacentral:misc_RNA from 1 species